rnacentral:lncRNA from 1 species
UCUACUCCUGAUCCACUGUGAUGGUGAUGGUGAUAAUCCUUGCUCAUGAGCUUGUACUAAAGACCCUUGAGUGAUUGCAUUGGAAUUAGCUCUUCGGUGGUCUUUGGGAUCCCUGUGACUUGGGCAUAGCAUUCAGCAGUCAAGAGAGGUCCCUGUUUACUCCUCUGCCAAACAGACAUCGACCAUGGACCUAGCACCCCUCCCCAUUUCCCCAACACAUGCAGCAGAAGUGCAGCUUGGUCUUCUUCAUGUGGGUCCCCCAACAAUUGGAGUGCAGGCUGUCCCUGACUCUGUUGCCUGCCUGUGGAUCUUAUUCACCUAACUGGGCUGCCUUGUCUAGCCUCACUGGGUGAGGAUACACCUGCAGUGACCUGAUUUGCCAGGACCUUUAACAGAAGAGGCUCAAUAAGCUCUUCUUAUUAUGGGUCCCACCUCAAGCAAUUCAAAAAUGGCAAAGCCAGAACUGGACUCCAAUCUAUGAAGUCUCCACAGCACAAAUGAGGCUUGGCUGCCUGGCUAUUGAUUGGCACCAGAGAACAAAAGAGCAGCAGAGCAAGAAGACCAAAGUUUGAUAAACAAAGAAACUCAUUAAAGUCACAGGAGUUAUAGAAGUGAACUUCAAGCAUGAGCCUAAUUCUAUGGGACUCCAUAGCUCCUGACUAUUUUA